rnacentral:rRNA from 1 species
UGGGGAAUAUUGCACAAUGGGCGCAAGCCUGAUGCAGCAACGCCGCGUGAACGAUGAAGGUCUUCGGAUCGUAAAGUUCUGUUGCAGGGGAAGAUAAUGACGGUACCCUGUGAGGAAGCCCCGGCUAACUACGUGCCAGCAGCCGCGGUAAUACGUAGGGGGCUAGCGUUAUCCGGAUUUACUGGGCGUAAAGGGUGCGUAGGUGGUCUUUCAAGUCGGUGGUUAAAGGCUACGGCUCAACCGUAGUUAGCCUCCGAAACUGGAAGACUUGAGUGCAGGAGAGGAAAGUGGAAUUCCCAGUGUAGCGGUGAAAUGCGUAGAUAUUGGGAGGAACACCAGGAGCGAAGGCGGCUUUCUGGACUGCAACUGACACUGAGGCACGAAAGCGUGGGUAGCAAACAGG